CGGGAGGAACCUGCGUGUGAAUGAGACGGCUGUCAGCAAGCCUACACUCAAAGGAUUUACCCGGUGCAGAGAGCUCCAAGAGAACACCAGAGCCCCUGGUAUUCUGGUUCACUUGAAUUUGUCCUCCUGCCUAUUCCAUAUUUUUUUCACACAUAUAAUCAUUUGUUUGCAGUCCGGAAAUAUAAAACCAUUCAAGAAACGGAGGCCCAACUAUUGGCUUCCCGAUUAUUCUACCAACUCUACCAAAUCCUUGUUCUUCGUUGCACAAUUAGCUGUGAAACAGACAGAGGUUACCUACAAUAAGUGCAUGUCAUUUUGGACUAGCCAUAUUUCAAGGGCUCAGUAUGGCUAAUGGCCACUAUAUUGGACAUCGACGGUCAAACCCAUUUUACAUUCCCCUGACAACUAUGAUUGGUGUGAGGCCUAUGAUGGCCCAACUAGGCUGACAGCAAAGAUCUUUCCUGUUGGCAAAGAUCAUCUUUCUCUCUCCUGCUGGCAAGAACAAGAAAGAAUAAAGGUCUGAUCAACCCAUGAGCUUUCUUGGGAUUUAUGAGGAGAACCAGACUUUGGAUGAAACUGACAUUGAAAUGAGCAGGAUGGAGAGAAAAAUCCUAGGGGUUUGGUGACAAUACUGGGCUGCUGAUUAAACUUGGAGUUUGCCCUGACUCUGAACUUUCUAUUUAGUGAGAUAAUAAUUGUCUCAAUUGUUUAAGCUAGCUUGUGUUGCUUCCAGCUAAAAGAGUGCCAGCUAU
rnacentral:lncRNA from 1 species